AUGGACCACGCGUCCACUGCGGUUGUGAGCGCGCCGUCCGCGCCCACCUGGCCGCUGCUCGCGACGUGUGGUUAGCC
rnacentral:sRNA from 1 species